rnacentral:rRNA from 1 species
GUGCCAGCAGCCGCGGUAAAACGUAGGUCCCGAGCGUUGUUCGGAUUCACUGGGUGUAAAGGGCGCGUAGGUGGUUGUCUGUGUCUCAUGUGAAAACUCAGGGCUCAACUCUGAGAUUGCGUGGGAAACUAGGCAGCUAGAGGACGGUAGGGGGGAGUGGAAUUCCCGGUGUAGCGGUAAAAUGCGUAGAUACCGGGAGGAACACCAGUGGCGAAGGCGGCUCUCUGGGCCGAUCCUGACGCUGAGGCGCGAAAGCUAGGGUAGCGAACCGGAUUAGAUACCCGGGUAGUCCUAGCCGUAAACGAUGGGUGCUAGGUGUUGGGGGGUAAAGACCCUUCAGUGCCGAAGCUAACGCGAUAAGCAUCCCACCUGGGGAGUACGUGCGCAAGCAUGAAACUUAAAGGAAUUGACGG